CUUCAGAUUAAUAUGCUUCAUCAGUAUCUAAUUAAUACAUUGUUAGUUUGUCUUUUCCUGGGCUGGAGAGUGAGCCGUAGGCGAGCAUUCUGCCAUGCAGAAACCCCCACCCCAGGAGCCAUUGUCCUAACCGCGGCUGGCAGAUCUCCACACUGUGACGCAGAUCUUCGGCUUACAGGCCAAAGGCAGCAGCAGAAUUUCCAAGAUGAAGAUGGUAAUGUCUUUGGACACCUUUCCAUCUAAAAGUGUUUCUCUUUUAAGUAUGGGAAUUCAAGUCGGUCAUCAUCCUUACCUGUCAUUCAUCAGGACCAUCCUUACCUGUCAGUCAUCAGGACCUUCCUUACCUGUCAGUCAAAUCCAGAUCUCAAGUCCAGAAUGCCUUCCUCAGUUCUUACUGGGUCUCCGGAAAGACCCCUGGCCUCAGUGUGGCCUUGGAGCUCCCACAGAAGAAUGUGGUAAGCAAGGCUACUCUUGAGUCUCAAAGACCGCAAGGAUUCAGAAGGUCUGCCGUUCCCUCUUGUUGGAACUGAAAUGUUUCCCUGCCUCGCCAAGCUCAGGAAACUGUUCGUUUUGGGCUCCCAAGGACUUUCUUUGUCCAGUCGCCUGACUGUACCUUGUGAAGCUUUGUAUCCGCUACAAGGAAGCUCUUUUUGGCAAGCUUUCCCUUCUCUAGAGCCUGUCUGCCUUGCCUCUGGAACAGGCCACCAGCCUCUGGAACAGGCCUGCUGGAAUGGAUAUCUUAGACACUGGUUCUCAGUCUGACUACUGCACUGUUAAACCAGUGGACCCCAGAGAAUGGGAAUGUCCCCAGGGAUCUCAUGCUGGGAGGAGGAGGUGCUAGCCAGAACGGGAACCUGUGUCCCAGAAAGAGAUCCCACGUUCCUGCUGUGAGCACACCUUACAAGGUGAGAACUGAGCCACACAGGACCACCCUUGACCAGGAUGCUUAGACAUGCGUGGCCUCGGCUCUGAACUUCCAUCACUUCAGGACCCUGAAGAUGGCCUUGGAGGAGUUACUGGAUCUUUUUGUCGGUCUUGUCAACAUGGAGUUUUCACUUUCAUGAACCCUUGUGCACGGAGAACGAAGACAAAACCAACUUCCAUUUACGGAGGCUGAGCAUCUACCCCGAACGUGGCUGCUGUGGGGAAACUGGAGCCCGUUAACCGUGGUUUCAGUGCAGCGUCAGCCGCUGCAGGGAGAGACCAAGGCUGCGCAUGUGUUUUUGUUUAUGUCGCUUCGGGAGGGUCUGGGGAGAAGGAAAGGCUACGAGGAGGAGGCAUGCCCACCUCUGCUGUAAACACGGCUCGGGGAACCUGCAGUGAGUCAGGCGCUGUGCUGUUUCCUGAAGCAGCGUGUCCCCUGAGCAGCCUCAAGUGAGUGUGAUUGCCCGGCCUCUGGCACGGAGAAGCUGGGGCUGCGUAGACUAAACCGUAUCUUCCUCCUGAAGGCCAGGCCUCUUUCCACUCAGAGAAUGCACAGACACGUUAAGCCCGACGUGUCCCAGACUGCUCCGUGCCUUUGUUCUCCUCACUCUGAAUUCCUCCCACUGAACGGAACCAAGCCUUUAGUUUAUUUCCUAUCACUGCAAGAAAGGCGGUGACCUACAGCAGCCUUCGGAAGACCGGGUGAGAGUAUUUGGCUGAUACAUCCCUGAGGGAAGCAAAGCAGAAACUCUGCCGGGGCAGGAACCUGGAGGCAGGAGCUGAGGCAGAGACCCCGGGGAAUCCUGCUCACUGGCCUGCUCCCCAGGCUCUGCUCAGCCCAUGUUGGUAUGCCACCCAGGGUCACCAGCCCAUGACUGUCACUGCCCAGUGCUUUGGGCACUCCCACAGCAAACAGGAAGACACUCCACAGGCCCAUCGGAUGGAGGCCUCUUCCCAGAUGACCCAAGCUUGAGCAGGUUGUCAAAACGUUAACCAGCAGAAGCCUCUUAGAGGAAGGUCGAAUCCAGAACUUCCGGCUGCAGAUACUUCGCUCUCCAGUGCCCAGUCCUCACCUUUGACAUUCCAAUUCCCACCCCUCCUUUAACCACCAGGCUUUCCUGCCUGCUCUGCUUCCUAGCCCCUGGCCAGCCGCACUGUUCCGUGUUCUCCAGGUAGCUGCUCACACCCCCAGCCCACUGCCUGCUCCCAUUCGGCUCUCGGUGUCCUUCUGUGACUGUGUGUGUCCACAGCCCACUGACUCCUGGAGUAGACUGGCCGGGUCUGGCCUGUCACUGUUUUUCAUCCCCUAACCAGAAGAGAGGGGGCAAAGGUGAGGGGGCAACAGCUCCUUGUCUGGGAGUUUACAGUUCCACGGGGUUGGGAAGGCAAGCGCACAGGAUUGAAGGAUAAUUCAAGAAGAUGCUUUAGGUGUUGCGCAGACCUAGUUUCCACAGUCGGGCUUUACUGAUGUGAAUUUUCACCUCUGUUGAUGAACUUGUCCCAUUUGCUGCUGUACCCCAAACAGCUGGCAGGGAAAAGCCUGUUGUUUAAGAAUAAUGGAUAAUUUUGAACGAAUGAAAACACUAAAGACCAUUAUCUCAGUUUCCAUCUAAGCAGUGUGCUCUAUGGUUACACCCCCCCAUGCAAUUCUUAGCAAGAACAAGGGUCUAUGGUAGCAAACAUCCAGUCCAUCCUGUUGUCAUCUUUUGUCAGAACUCCUGUUGAGCAUGGAUGGAUGGGAGGCCUGUGGUUUCAGCCCUGAGUUUCAGCAAAAAGCACAGCAGGUGACUCCUGCCUGGAUCCUUGGAACUCAGGAGACUGAAGGAGUGAAAUUGGUGAGAGUCUAAGGCCAUCGUGGGAUAUAGAGUAAACUCCAGAAGAGCCUGCUUGAGGAGUCUCAGAAAGAAAUGUUCCUGAGCGUGACAGAACUAACCAAGGAGCACAGAGGAGUAUCAUACAUGUGAGCAUGACCCUAAGAGAAGCUCUGCUUCAUUGCUGCCAUGUUCUUCACGAGGAGCCUGACACACAGGAAGUGCAACAUGUAAAAUGGAGCUUAUAGUCAUCGGUACUGAGACUCGUGGUGGCCCCUCCCCCUUCUCCCCUUCCCCCCUCUCUCCCUCCCUCCCGUUCUUUCCUUCCUUCCUUCCUUCCUUCCUUCCUUCCUUCCUUCCUUCCUUCCUUCCCUUUCAGUAAGAUGCUGAGUAGCCCAGGCUGGCCUCAAAUUUCCAACCUUCCUGCCACAGCUUCCUAAAUGGUAGGAUUUUAUGAACGCACUCAUCUGGAUUCAUACAGUUUGUUGGUGGUGGUGAGGGUUUGUUUGCCUUUUGUCAUUUUUGAGACAGGAUCUCGCUAAAUGGCUGGCCUGAAACUCACUAUGUUGAGCAGGCUGUCCUGGAACUCAGAAAUCCACCUGCUUUUGCUUCACCCAGUUCUGAAAAACUGACAGCUUUUGUUCUGGAAGUCAAAGCAGCAGCUCUGAAAAUGCCUGAGUAUUUCCAACUCAGUGAUUGCUGACCACCCCGCCAACACACACACACUGCAGUUACUGUUUCACCCAGGUGUAGACAACAGCACACUCCUGCAGAUAAAGAUCAGUUUGUUGGCUUUUCAUUCUGAUUUUUCCCUGCUUGAGCCUGAGCAGUAAGCCAAUCGGCGACUGCUGACUGCUGACAUUCAGCAGCUGCGUGGCUAACAACAGCCUCGAAACUCCCAGACGCUUCUUCCAGGUACACGGAGAAAGGUCAUGUGCACGCGCAGACUUACAUAAACGCCAAGCACACACGCAGGUUUCUACUUCACUGCUUUUCAUGACAUGCCCAGAGGACAGUCAUGUGGCAAGGCCUACCCCUCUGUUCUUCCGCCAGGUCAAACUCGAAUACAAGACGUGGCAUAAGGUAUUCUCCUGUGGCUUUGGAAUUUUCAUUUUCGGCUGUGUGUUGUGUGAAACACGCAAACCUUUAUGGUGAGGAAGAAACGUCAGGAAGCUGAUUUCUAAAACAGCAAGCUUUAGAAAGUUCUGAGUGUUGUCUGAAGUUUGUUUUCUUCCAGUCUCAUUUAUUUCAAACAUGGCUUCUGUUAAACUUCCUCUGACUCUUUCUUCCCAAACCAAGUGAGGUGUUUUCCAUGGUACGGUAAAGAACACGGGUGGUAAGCUUCUGCUCAUCCGAGUUGUUGACUGUGCUCAUUUCAUUUUGUUUUAUUUCAUUGUGCUUAUUUCAUUUUGGUAGUUUUAUUUACUUUUUCCUUCUGUUUGUGUUUUUCUCACAAGGUCUCAUGUUGCCCUGGCUGCCCUCAAACUUGUUAUGCAUUCAACCUGGCCUCGGACUCCUGAGCCUUCUUCCUCUGCUUCCCGAGUGCCGACACUGCAGUAUGCGCCAGCUCAACCCACAGAGAUUUUUGCAUUUAAGUUUGUUCCUUCUCACUGGGCUGAUUGUAAGGUCCACGCUUUCUCUCUUCAUUUCUAGCAACUGGCCUACUGCCCAACAUAAAAACACCUAUGGAAUACGUGUAGGAUUUUAUUUUUAUAGGGUGGGGAGCUUGGCCAGCGCAGGCAAGGACAAGGGUACACAGCAGGAACUGUACAAUUCUGAUUCCUCGUCUGUAGAGGUCAAACACUGGGUAGAGCAGGUGCAGCAGACAUUUAGGAUUUCAGCCCGGUGGAUCACAGCUUCCCAGCUGUGGAGGGAGAGUGAGGACAGUCUGGUGUAUUCACACCUCGGCUCCCCUUCAGUCCACCUACAGGCCCCUGUACCCUCACCACAGCAGUCCCCCGAUUGCCAGCGCCCUUGUGAAAAGUCCUGGUUGACCAACACAAUAGCCCACAACAAACUGCAUUAAAGUGAAGAACUUAGAGGAAAGUUUAUAAUGACAAAGAGAAAAAUGGAACCAACAGGAAGUUGACCUCCCACCUUGCCCUGCUCUCCACUCACUGGAAUGCUAAUCAUCUCAACACACCCCGAGAUAAGCCACCUGUAACUUUAGUCCUUGAAAACCUAUAAAAGGGCUGGGCAUGGUCGUACUGGUCUUUAAUUCUACCACUCUGGGAGGCGAAGGUAGGAAAAUUACAAGUUUGAAGCCAGCUUAGGUAAUUUUGCAAGAUCCUGCCUCAAAAAACAGGCAAGUGCAGAGUUUGGUUCAGGAAAACCAGAUUUCCAUAACUUCUAACUGCUCACAUGGCAAAUUAUUACUCAAAAGAUCGUCUUUCACAGAGUGAGGAAAAUCUUUGGUAAGACAAUUUUGUUCAAGGCAGGGUCACACUGUGCAGUCCUGGGUGGCCUGGAACUUUCUGCAGUCUUCCUUCCUCUGCCUCCCAGGGGCUAGGUGGACCCGUGUUUGCUAUCCUGUCCAGAUGUGGAUGGUUCAUAGUGUCCAAG